GAACAUUGGCAUACAUUUUUCGUGUGCUUUAGAGAAGUGUGACAGCCCUGGGCCUUCUUCCUGUUCCUGCAUCCUCUCUAGUGAGAGCUUCCCUGCCGAAGGACUCAGCCUAAGCGUCCUCAUUACAAUCCAGAGGGAGACGCUCAUUAAGGACGUGCUUUUGGAAAACUGCUCCGCUAUCAGAGGAGGGCCACCUUCUGUUUUGUGUAUGCAGUGCUUCUCUGCAGGGUGUGUGUGGUCUCUCUCAGGUGAUGCUUGCACCUGGAGGUCAGCCUCCACAGAGGACAAUGUGACCACACAGG
ensembl:lncRNA